rnacentral:misc_RNA from 1 species
UGACUACCUUGAUUGCUCAUCACUUAAUAAACCUGGGCGUCAGGAGUGGUUAGAAACCACUGAGGUAUUCAACCGCUGCGAUGCUACGCGCAAUAUAACCUUUGAGUUUGGAAUGUUUGGUGAUGCAAAUACUGAAAGAGUUACAUCUGCUAGCUUCUUUGAUCGAUAUUUUUACUGCCUAUGGUGGGGUUUAAAGAGCUUAAGUUCAUAUGCACAAAGUAUUACUACCAGCACUAACAUUGUUGAGACGCUCCUUUCUA